rnacentral:lncRNA from 1 species
UAAAAUCAACACCCGUUCAUCCUAUUUAAUACUCCUUAGCGCGACUAAAAAAACAAUUGAAGUCGUAAAAACCCUAAAUACAGUCCCUAAUUCUGAAUAUGUAAUCAUACAUUCAAAAUUAUAAACUAAAAAAUUCAGCCCCAAAUUAUGAACAAACCCUAGGAACCACGGCGAACUGUCAUUGCUGUUUACGUUGAAGCAGUUACAGCGAUUGCGGCCACAUUUCUGUGCCGGUUGCUUCUCAUUUUCACCAAAGCCGGGCUCGAAUAAUUCCACAGUAGCAACUCCAUCGUUGCCGUACUGCGCUUCACCGGCGGCGGUUAGUUUCUCCACCGACAAAAUCCGCAAAAAAGUAGGAAAAUUGCCUAUCGAAGAGCCUCUUGAGGCGCGAUUUCAGCGCAGGCUUGCCCGUAUUAGUUCGGACCGAUGAUUCUCGGUACGUUUGAGAGUCAAUUUUCAUUGGAGGCAUAGCUGUGACUCUCUAACUUUUCAAUAUUGUCUAGCUAAUAGUUAUACUCUCUGUCACUUCUGUUCAGUUUGUGUGAAUUUUUUAAUUUCUUUUCUUCGUUUUCUUAGAAAUCAAUCUUGCUAACUGUUGCUAAUUUUGGACAGUUUUUAUUUCUUUUCGCUAGAACUCUACUCUGAUUGAUUUCCGGUCCCCCAAAUGGAAGAAAUCUCUAUUUUAAACUUUAAGUGAUAUAUAACCUUUUAAUUUGGGGUCAGAGUUCAUAUUUUUUUUUUUGAGGGCAGAGUAAUUAAAGAAAAACAGUCUCUUGGACAUCCUGUUACCAGUUAGAAAUACACGAAAGAUGCAUUCUUUAGUCUUCAGUCUAUUCUUUUGUGGGGAGUUCUUCCUGCCAGUCAUCUUCAGUGUUUAUAUUGACAGCUUGCUUAGACUGGAAGGGCAAGGCGAAUUGGUUUUGACAUAUUUUGCCCGUACUGUGAAAUCAGGUCGGAUAAUUUUGCCGGG